GAUGAACGCUGGCGGCGUGCCUAAUACAUGCAAGUCGAGCGAACGGACGCGAAGCUUGCUUCUCUGAUGUUAGCGGCGGACGGGUGAGUAACACGUGGAUAACCUACCUAUAAGACGGGGAUAACUUCGGGAAACCGUAGCUAAUACCGGAUAAUAUUUUGAACCGCAUGGUUCAAAAGUGAAAGACGGUCUUGCUGUCACUUAUAGAUGGAUCCGAGCUGCAUUAGCUAGUUGGUAAGGUAACGGCUUACCAAGGCAACGAUGCAUAGCCGACCUGAGAGGGGGAUAGGCGACAUUGGAACUGAGACACGGUCCAGAGUCCUACGGGAGGCAGCAGUAGGGUAUCUGCCGCAGUGGGCGAAAGCCUGACGGAGCAACGCGGCGUGAGUGAUGAAGGUCUUUGGAUCGUAAAACUCUGUUAUUAGUGAAGAACAGAUGUGGAAGUAACUGUGCACAGCUUGACGGUACCUAAUCAGAAAGCCACGGCUAACUACGUG
rnacentral:rRNA from 1 species